CGCCUGGUUUUACAAAAACAUGUCUUUUAAAGAUAAUAAUUAAAGGUCAGGCCUGCCCAAUGAUUUUUAUUAAAUGGCCGCGGUAUUUUGACCGUGCUAAGGUAGCAUAAUCAUUAGUUUCUUAAUUGGAAGCUUGUAUGAAAGGUUUAAUGAAAAAAUAACUGUCUCAUUUUUAAUUUUUUGAAUUUUAUUUUUAAGUGAAAAAGCUUAAAUUUUUAUAGAAGACGAGAAGACCCUAUAGAGUUUUAUACAAAAAUUUUAAAUGGGUUGUUAAGAAUUUAAAGUCUUCUAAAAUUUUUAUAUUUAAUUGGGGUGAUUAAAAAAUUUAGUAAACUUUUUUUUAUUUUUUACAAUAAUGUUUGGUUAAAUGAUCCUAUUUUUUAGAUUAUAAGAGAAAAUUACCUUAGGGAUAACAGCGUUAUUUUUUCUGAGAGUUCUAAUCGAAGAAAUAGUUUGCGACCUCGAUGUUGGGAUUAAAA
rnacentral:rRNA from 1 species